CGUGUAGGUGGUUAGACAAGUCAGGUGUUAAAACUAGAAGCUCAACUUCUAGUCGCCCCUGAAACUGUUUAGCUUCGAGUUUGGGAGAGGAUAGUGGAACUCAUAGUGUAGCGGUGAAAUGCGUAGAUAUUAUGAGGAACACCAGUGGCGAAGGCGACUAUCUGGACCAAUACUGACACUGAGACGCGAAAGCAUGGGGAGCAAACAGGAUUAGAUACCCUGGUAGUCC
rnacentral:rRNA from 1 species